rnacentral:rRNA from 1 species
UACGAAGGGGGCUAGCGUUGCUCGGAAUCACUGGGCGUAAAGGGUGCGUAGGCGGGUCUUUAAGUCAGGGGUGAAAUCCUGGAGCUCAACUCCAGAACUGCCUUUGAUACUGAAGAUCUUGAGUUCGGGAGAGGUGAGUGGAACUGCGAGUGUAGAGGUGAAAUUCGUAGAUAUUCGCAAGAACACCAGUGGCGAAGGCGGCUCACUGGCCCGAUACUGACGCUGAGGCACGAAAGCGUGGGGAAGCAAACA